rnacentral:tRNA from 1 species
AGUCGGGAGCUGGGCCGACGCCUCCAGCCACGUUACGGACAGUUACGACAAGGAGGGGGUCGGGGGUUCAAGUCCCUCAGCGGCCA